rnacentral:rRNA from 1 species
UACGAAGGGGGCUAGCGUUGCUCGGAAUCACUGGGCGUAAAGGGUGCGUAGGCGGGUCUUUAAGUCAGAGGUGAAAUCCUGGAGCUCAACUCCAGAACUGCCUUUGAUACUGAGGAUCUUGAGUGCGGAAGAGGGUCGUGGAAUUCCCAGUGUAGAGGUGAAAUUCGUAGAUAUUGGGAAGAACACCGGUGGCGAAGGCGGCGACCUGGUCCGAUACUGACGCUGAGGCGCGAAAGCGUGGGGAGCAAACAGG